GAUGAACGCUGGCGGCGUGCCUAAUACAUGCAAGUCGAGCGAACAGACGAGGAGCUUGCUCCUCUGACGUUAGCGGCGGACGGGUGAGUAACACGUGGAUAACCUACCUAUAAGACUGGGAUAACUUCGGGAAACCGGAGCUAAUACCGGAUAAUAUAUUGAACCGCAUGGUUCAAUAGUGAAAGACGGUGUUGCUGUCACGUAUAGAUGGAUCCGCGCCGUAUUAGCUAGUUGGUAAGGUAACGGCUUACCACGGCAACGAUGCGUAGCCGACCUGAGAGAGUGAUCGGCCACACGGGAACUGAGACACGGUCCAGACUCCUACGGGAGGCAGCAGUAGGGAAUCUUACGCAAUGGGCGAAAGCUUGACGGAGCAACGCCGCGUGAGUGAUGAAGGUCUUCGGAUCGUAAAAAUCUGUUAUUAGGGAAGAACAAAUGUGUAAGUAACUAUGCACGUCUUGACGGUAACUAAUCAGAAAGCCACGGCUAACUACGUG
rnacentral:rRNA from 1 species